rnacentral:rRNA from 1 species
UGCGUAGGCGGUUCUUUGUGUCCGCUGUGAAAGCCCCGGGCUUAACCUGGGAAUGGCAGUGGAAACUAGAGGACUUGAAUCCGGCAGAGGGGGUGGAAUGCCACGUGUAGCAGUGAAAUGCGUAGAGAUGUGGCGGAACACCGAUGGCGAAGGCAGCCCCCUGGGCUAAGAUUGACGCUCAGGCACGAAAGCGUGGGGAGCAAACAGGAUUAGAUACCCUGGUAGUCCACGCCCUAAACGAUGUCAACUAGGUGUUGGGGAAGCGAUUUCCUAGUACCGCAGCUAACGCGUGAAGUUGACCGCCUGGGGAGUACGGUCGCAAGAUUAAA